rnacentral:lncRNA from 1 species
UCUGGCAAGUCACGACAAUAGCCACAAUCCUACUCCACUCUCUGUAACGGAUUCUGCAUGACUCCACCACUCUAUGGUAAGUCAUGACAACAGACACCACUCCACUCUCCAUAACAAACUCCACGUGGCCCUGAACGGUUCCCUGACGACACUACCCUCCGUAACAAACUCCGCGUGACCCCGAACGGCCCACUAUCAGGCGGUUACAGACGUCACUGUCAAUCAGUUAUGCUCUCC